rnacentral:tRNA from 1 species
GGGGAUGUAGUUCAGUGGUAGAGCACUUGCCUAGCAUGUAUGAAGCACUGGGUUUGGUUCCUAGUAUCACCA